AUUGACGAGCACGAUUUUCAAACGAAACUGCGCAACGUUGUGAAAUUCCUGAACGAUGGCGAUAAAGUGAAGCUGUCUGUCCGUUUUCGCGGCCGUGAGAUCGCUCAUGCGAACAUCGGUCAACGCGUUCUGGAGCGCAUGGCAGCCGAAGUGGAAGAGCUGUGCAUCGUUGAGCGCAAGCCGAAGCUGGAGGGCCGGAGCAUGAUCAUGAUUCUGGCGUCGAAGCAGCAAUAGUAAAAUCUCAUUCUUUAAGGAGGAACACCCCAUGCCAAAAAUGAAAACUCACAGCAGCUUGAAAGACCGCUUUAAAAUUACAGGUACCGGCAAAGUAAAACGCUACAAAGCGUAUAA
rnacentral:misc_RNA from 1 species